rnacentral:rRNA from 1 species
UACGUAGGGUGCGAGCGUUGUCCGGAAUUAUUGGACGUAAAGAGCUCGUAGGCGGUGUGUCACGUCGUUCGUGAAAACCUGCAGCUUAACUGUGGGCGUGCGGUCGAUACGGGCAUCACUGGAGUUCGGCAGGGGAGACUGGAAUUCCUGGUGUAGCGGUGAAAUGCGCAGAUAUCAGGAGGAACACCGGUGGCGAAGGCGGGUCUCUGGGCCGAUACUGACGCUGAGGAGCGAAAGCGUGGGGAGCAAACAGG